UUCAGAAGUAAGGUAUCUUAAAUUGCACUCGACAAUGUUGUGAAUACUUUAAAAUGCUUGAAGCCAUACUUGAUGCCUUCCAUAACGUGUAAAGUAAGAAGUUAGCCUGUGUUAAAAAGUGGUGAUCCCUGCAGAUUACCAAGGCAUCCAGUCUCCCAGCAAGUGCCAAGAGGCAUUCAUUCAAUGCUCCGCUGACACCAAUUUGCCCAAAGAAUAUUUAUGUGGGAGACUCCUCAGAUUGUGGAGACCCCAGAUUGUGGAGGCUCCUGGGCAGCUGGUCUUUUUGUGGACUCCUAAAUCUGGCACUGAACAAAAUUCUCUCUCUCUCUCUCUCUCUCUCUCUCUCUCUCUCUCUCUCUCUCUCUCUCUCUCUCUCUCUCUCUCUCUCUCUCUCUCUCUCUCUCUCUUUCUCUUUCUCUCUCUCUCUCUCUCUCUCUCUCUCUCUCUCUCUCUCUCUCUCUCUCUCUCUCUCUCUCUCUCUCUCUCUCUCUCUCUCUCCUCAACUCUCAGCCACUGGAUGGUAUAUCAGUUCACACAGCAAGAAGCCAAGGACCCACCGAGGCUGUCACUUGGAAGAGGUCAUUGUUGUUGCAUCCAGCAUCCCAGCCUGACUGCCUAGACAGGUCCCGCAGGUUGCUGAAUGGCAGAGGUGCAGGCUGCUCCACAGCAAAAUGUGAGACCAGUGUGGCAGAGUAUGAUGUGUACACAAUGAGGGACACACUGUAGCCAACCCAGUAGAUUACCCGUGCUGCACUGCUGAUUGGCACCUCUGGAGUCGCUCGAUGAAGAAGAGGAUGCUGGCGAGGCCUGUCGUGUUAGCCGGGAUGCGCCGGUACAGAGCUGUGUCCGUUGGGGUUGUGUAGGCAAGCAUCUUCUUGGCAAGGUCCUCGUAGGUGGCCGCAAACAGUUUACGGCUGUGGGAUGAGAACUUGUCUUGUGAAUGUGACGUUGGGAGGAGGGAAGCACAGGGGAAGAGGAGGACGAGGAGGAAGAGAGUUAAGAGUCACAAGAGGAGGAGGAAGGUGGAAAGAAAGAGGAAGGAGAGGAGGAGGAGGAGGAGGAGGAAGAUGGAGAAGGAAAGGAGAAAGAUAAGAAGGAAGGAAAUGCCGCAGAAGGAGAAGAGCAAUAAGAAAUUAGAAUUGACAGAGAAACCAGACAAGGGACUGCAUUUGAAGAAGCACAAGAACCAAGAAAUUACAUCAUUCAAUGAAAUGACAACAUAAUCUAAAAUAGAAAUCAAAAACGUCACAAGACAGAAUAGUGAGCUGCAUGCACUUAUCACAGAGUAUAAAGUCACUCCCUCAGAGGAAAAAGACAAGGAUGGCAUGUCUUCAUGUGAGAACUCAGAAGCUAAAUGUACAGAUACCAAGGGGAAAUUGCUGGGUCAAGUGGCUACACUGACAUCUGAGGUUAGCAGGUUGGAGAGUGAGUGCAGCAGUCUUCAGGUUCAGCUAGACUGUGAGAGGGAUAAGUAUAACAAACUGCUGGGAGAAUCUCUUGCUCAUGAAAAGUUGUCUGAAGAUGUCAUAACUGAACCAAAAGGAGAAACAACAGGAUUGGGAGGAACUGAGCUUUAACAGAAGCUGCAACAACUGCAGGAGGCUCACAGGGUCCUGGAGAGCAGGUUAACUUGCAGCAUGAAGGAGGUGGCUGAGCUAAGUGACAGGAAGUAGCAGCUUAAGCAUGCUGUAGUGCAUGAGGAGACAGAGUCCAUCGGUGUAUGCAUGUUUUUUGCUCAUUUGAAUCAUCUGUAAAAGUGAAGUGGAGGAAGUGUUUACUGUUUACUGUAUGCCAUUUCCUUGGUCUUUUAAUGAAGAAUUUUAUCCUUCUUCAGGUGACUACAUCACCAUCUACCAGUUGCAGCGAGGAGUGAUGAAGCAACAAGCUCGAGAACGCGAGUUAGACCUUGCCAGCCUCCAUCAUGAAUGAGAGGAAAUGAAGCAAAACCACUCUGCAGGAUUUGAUAUCAAAGCUGGUGCAGGAAAAGGAAGCAGAUCAUGACCUUCAGCAGCUCGAGAAGAUAAGCAGCGUCCUUAAGAGUCCAGUUGCUAUCUUUAGCAGUGUUGGAACCAGUGAGUCUGAGACACCCACCAGCAGUGGAAAGCUGGCUGACGAGCGCCUCAAGCACUCUGAAAAGGUGGAGCAACAACAAGAAACAGAAAAUUGCAUCCAUCAUUCUUUGCCUGAGGAGGGAAUUGAUGCUCUGUUGACCCUUCACACUGAUGUCCCUCAUGAGGAGGCAGAAUAUGAAUCCUACAGAACUUGCCCAUAGAAAGACCAAAACUGUUACUGCUGCCACACUGCCACCACUUCCACUGACACCAAAAGCCCAACUGUGCAGAGAAUCCUGGACCUCCGCAAUGAAAUGGAGUCCACCAGUCACCUGGAGCACUUUAGCCUCCAAAAGUUCCAUCCGUGUCCAUUGUGUUUGGGUAAACUUAUCACUGUAUAAGGGGACAAGUAUCAGUGUAUGGUUACUAUAUACUCAUUUGUACUUAAAGAUGUCAUGUCACAUCAUUCUCUCUCUCUCUCUCUCUCUCUCUCUCUCUCUCUCUCUCUCUCUCUCUCUCUCUCUCUCUCUCUCUCUCUCUCUCUCUCUCUCUCUCUCUCUCUCUCUCUCUCUCUCUCUCUCUCUCUCUCUCUCUCUCUCUCUCUCUCUCUCUCUCUCUCUCUCUCUCUCUCUCUCUCUCUCUCUCUCUCUCUCUCUCUCUCUCUCUCUCUCUCUCUUUCUUUCUUUCUCUUUCUUUCUUUCUUUCUUUCUUUCUUUCUUUCUUUCUUUCUUUCUUUUGUUGCAUAUGUUACUGCUUUACAUUCCUCCCCACAGUAUUUUUUCAUCUACUUUAUGACUGCAGUAGUUUUAUCAUCCCAGUGUAUGCUGUAUCCACUCUGAAACUGUAAUUCACCAAUCAGCUCAAAUGUGUCUCUGUUUUGAUAAUCAUUAAUUUGUUUCAGCUACACAACCACUCUGAUAAGGGACAAAAUCUACUUCACCAGUCAUCUAUGUCAUACAGUCAUAUAUAUUCAUACAUAUGACAAAAUACUCUUCCUAAGACAUUUCUUAUUUUCUCUUCUCAAGUGACCUGUCCAUCUAUCUAAGGUACCACAUAACAUUUAAAACUUACAAUAUUGUGUUUAAUUCAUGAACACUUUUUUGUCUAUCUAUGGAGACUUGCGUAUAGACUUGAAAUGUAUUGGGAGUUUUCUUUAUCUCUCAUUCUAUACCUAACACCUGUUCCUAAGAAUCCCCAGGUGAUAGCCAUGGUGACUGGCUGGUCUCCUACUGAGUGGCUGGGGUUUUCCAAAAGUGAGGGUUGGUGUUCCAUACCAUACCAUGUGCCCUGUUUGUAUUCCUUCUUUGUCCUCUGUAUUAUAUUCUAUGUAAAGAU